ACUUAUUAGACUUUAAAACCGAUUACAAUUUAUUGUAAAUUUAAAAUGAAUUAAAAAUAAGUUUAUGAAUCGCAGAUCAUUUUGUGAUGAUAAGAAUGAAUUUCUGCCCUAUCAACUUUCGAUGGUAAUGUAGUGGAUUACCAUGGUGAUGACGGGUAACGGGGAAUUAGGGUUUGAUUCCGGAGAAAAGGCCUGAGAGACGGCCAUUACUUCUAAGGAAGGCAGCAGGCGCGUAAAUUACCCAAUCCUAAUACGGGGAGGUAGUGACAAGAAAUAUUGAUAUUGGACCCAAAGGGUACAAUGAUUGAAAUGAGAACAAUAUAAAAAACUUAACGACUAACAAUUGGAGGGCAAGUCUGGUGCCAGCAGCCGCGGUAAUUCCAGCUCCAAGAGUGUAUAUUAAAAGUUGUUGCGGUUAAAAAGCUCGUAGUUGAAUUUCUGAAAAUAAUCUUGUGAUUGAUUUAAACCGUCAUGAACAAAAUUGUUACAUACUUGAUAGAUGGAAAC
rnacentral:rRNA from 1 species